rnacentral:lncRNA from 1 species
AGUAAAAACUGACCGAGUAAAUGUGAAUAUUUUUUCACUUGAACACUCUGAUCUGUUUGGAACUUAAUUUCCUUACUCAUGAAAUUAAUAUAAUAAGGCUAAGUUGGUCAGUAGUUAAACUAACUAAAUUUGGCUGAAGAUUGCUAUGUUCACUAUGCAAAGAUUAGACCGUUAGUUCCCUGAGUGAAGAGAUGCUAUCUUGGUAUCUCCAGCUUCCAACCGGGGGCUUGGCACAGAAUAGGGGCUUGGUAAAUGUUUUCCAAAUGAAUGGGAUGUCUGAUGGAAAGAAGACAAGGUGAAGGAAUUCCUGGGUAAUAUGGAGAUGAGAAUCUGUGAGAAGGAUACAUGUACUGAUGCCUGUCGCGGUGGACACACAGACGCACACAUUGCGGAACACCACCAUAAGAAUAUUGAGAAUAUCGAGAACACUUCAAUAUUCCAAACUUCAAUGGAAAUAUACAUGCUGUAAAAUUUCAAAUUCAUGCUCCACUUCUUAUAAAAGAAAUCCAGCAGCUUAAGGGUAGAAGAAAGAUAACAGGAGUCUGUCCCUUCGGCCAAAGAGUUUCUUUUCAAAGUUCGUGGUGGCAGCCUGAUGUCAGCUGGGGAAGAAGCUCCAUUCUUUUUCUGGCAGAACUGACUUCUUUGCGGGAGAGCUGUGGCAGCCCCUUUGCUUAUUCCCAGCAUGGAAAGACCACAAGAUCCCUGCUCCUUAUGGCUCUGGCAUGCAAUGCACUCCCUAGAGGGACCCCUUACAAGGCUACCAAUAACCUAUCAGCACCUCCAACUCUUACUACUGCACUGAAGGUUAGAGUCAGAUUUUGAUGAUGUCUCUUUUCAUUAAAUUUCCAGACUACAUAGAAACCUGGGGUGAUAGGUCUUUCUUCAUGCUUUUAGCUGUAUGAUCUUUAGCAAAAAUUCCUUCAAUUCUUAAUGAUCAGCAUUGCUAUAAGAUGUUCCCUAUUUAUGACAUCUGCAGAUUAUUUUGAUGGAAAACUUGGACGGAAUAAAAGGUAGUUAAAUGCAUCCUCAAGUUGCCAUUUUUAACUGAAAGCCAUCUCUGCUUUUAUGAAAUCUGGGACAGCUACCAAAUUAACACCCACAUGUACUAGUAAUGGCUGGCAGAGUAGAGAAUCGGGGGCAGAAAAUCUAUGCUGUGUUCUUAAUCCAUUUCUCAGUCAUCACCUACAAGCAGAUGUCUCCUACAAGAACAUCAAUUUAGUGGCCAAGAGUAUCUUGGAAAGAGGAAGCCAAGAUAUUUUUCUAAUGUGUGGCUUUCCAAUAUUUUUGACAUCUAGAAGUCACCAGAUCAAUUAAAUACUCAAUCAUGUUCUGCUGCUUCUUCCAUUGUGCAGUGCCAUUUGUCAGGGCCCUUCAGGAACACAGGCAGAUACCUUUAUGAAACCUCUGUUAUCCCACUGUAAACUGUCUCACAUUAAUAAGAUUUACCUUCAGGUGGAAGGAAAUUCACAUAAUUCCUCCCAUAUGUGAGUUUCUUCUUCUAAGUUUAUAUGGUCAACAUCUCAUUGCACAU